GGGCUCUAUCGGUGUUGGUUUCUCGGCACCUUGUACAGAUAUAAAAGAACACGCACAGAGACAGAACUCGAUCUGCUCCCUCACCGCCUUGAUCAGCUCCGGCAACAGAGGUUUGUUUUUUUGUGUUUCCGGAUAGAAUUAUGUUCGAUUGAGCUUAUUCAAUUAUUAAUCGCUUCUUUUUGCUUCUCACUGUAUUCCUUAUCUGGGACUCUUAUUCUGUGCUCAGUAUCUUCCAUUAUUCCCCUUUUCCCCAUGUGGUAUCAGCUUAUGUUUUGUUUCAAUUUUGGCUUGUUCCCAGCUUACUGAUUUGCCUUUGCUCUGUCAGCAAUGCGUAAAAUUAUUUUGUGUCUGCUUAAGAGCUAAUCUGAACCUGAACAUUACCCUUUUCAUUAAAUAGGGUCAAGAUUGAUAGCCCUAAUUCUGACAUCUAUUUUGGCGCACCUGGAAUCGGGUAACUUAGUUCAAUUGGUUCAAUCUAUAAGCUACUUUGUUAUCUAUAAUAUCUUUUUGUUUGGUUGGGGUUGGGAGGGAUUGCUUUCCUUUUGGAUUUAGUUAACUUUUGAAUGUGCAUCAUCAAUUUGAUUUUGUAGCUUUUUUUUUAAAGAGAAGGUUUUAGUUACUGGGUUGAUUUAUGGUGGAAUUCAGUUCCAUCACACCUGCUUAAUGUAUUGAUUUAAAUAUACCUUUUUCUUUUUCUUCUUGUAAAAUAUAAUUCUAACCCAGAAAUUGGCUUUUGAUAUUGUUAUUAUUUUACAUUACUUCAUUUGGGUUUUGAAUACGCUGUAAUUUUAUCAGAUAUUGAUAUAUGCCAACACAGAGCUUAGUUGGAUGAUAAUGGCUGCUCCAACAUCUGUGAAACAAAAUGUCUAUGAUUUUGAUGAUGAUGAUGAUGA
rnacentral:misc_RNA from 1 species